GGAGACGUGGAUGAGUGGCUGAAAUCACCUCCCUGCUAAGGAGGCAUACGGGCUUAAACCUGUAUCGAGGGUUCGAAUCCCUCCGUCUCCGCCA
rnacentral:tRNA from 3 species